rnacentral:pre_miRNA from 1 species
CAACUACUCCCUCUGUCCCAAAUUUCUUGUCUUAGAUUUUUCUAGAUACAGAUGUAUCUAAUACUAAAAUGUGACUUGAUACAUCCGUAUCUAGACAAAUAUAAGACAAGAAUUUUGGGACGGAGGGAGUACUUU